GCAGCAUGGAGCUUGCAUGCCCCAUGAGGAUUUCCCUGGCCACCCCGGGCUGAGUACCUGAGAUAAACUGGGAGAACUAUGGCAGCUACUUGCAUGGACCUGUACCUGACCUAGCCCUUGGGGACUUUGUGUGCUUGAAUUGUCUAAAGAUGGGGUACUGAGGGGCAGGAAUGGUGAGGCUUUCUAACAGUACUUGAAACCUAAUGAUAAGCAACAUUUCCUCAUUAUUUUCCAGUGACCGACCUUACUGAAAUGGUGCUACAGUUGCUGUGCAAAGAAAUUCUGGGGUGAAGAAGAAUGCAAAAAUCUACCUUCUGUGGUUCAAGAAAUACUUUCUGUGACCAAAGAUCAAGUUAAAUUAAUGUACUCCACUGGUUGAAUUAUUUGAAAAUGUGAAAACAUAUCACCACAGUGCUUGUGAUGUUAGGUCAUCCCCAUAACCAUGGAAUUAGGGAUGUGGACAUGAACUUGACAGAAAAUCACUUCAGGAAAUACACAAAUCAGAUUCUGCGUGAUGGACCCUUCAGAAGAUCCGAGAAGCCAGCUUGGACAUUUAAAAUCAGAACUGUCAUUUCUACAUGUGCUGGCUGACUUCAAUAUGAGAAAUUCUGCAGAAAGAUGAGGACUGCUAACCUCU